CUCAACUCAUCUUCCGAUCUAUAAAUUUUAAUGUACACAAUCAUGUCAAUUUGUUUGACGGUUCAGUGAUCAUACUACACACUAACAUGUGAUAAAUAUUUAGUUUAAUUUAUUGAUCAGCAGAUCAAAGAGUUGGAUUAUACAGAAUUAAUUAGAGAUAACUAAUCACUUCGGGACUUGAACACAGUGUCGGAUUACGGAAGUGACAGUUUUUGGAAUACACAUGUUUUUAACAAGGAUUGUUAAAUAUAUUUUUGGGGACCGGAUAUUUUUGUCGCAUGUCACGAGUUGUCGGAAUACUCAGAUGUCUGAUUAAGUAAGUUGCACUGUAAUAGCAAAGAGGACUCAAAAUCAAUUGGAAGGACAUUUCAGUAGUCAUCCAUUAAGAACAAAUAAUUUUGUCAUCGGUUCCUGGUCUGUAUAGCCGAACUUGAUUUUCACGGAGUACCGCAGUAGGAUCGAUCUAUGUGGGCAUAAACCAAUGUGAAAUAGAGCUGCUGAGCAUACAAGAUCAGAGUUUUUCUUAAGUAAGGUACGAUGGCACCCUAAUUAUUCUGGAAAAUGAGUGUUUUGGCCUAAAAAAUUAAUCAUUUUACAAAACGUGAUAGAAAAAUACAUAAUUGACGGGGAGACUGGUGGUUAAUUUUUUUAAUUUUGCACAACUGUUGGUUAUAAAUUCUGAAAACAACUGAUUGAAGUGAAGCUGUCAAACAUUACAAAUCUGAACACAUGCAUCCUAGAUCAUUGGAAAAUUGACAAAAGACUACCAGCUACCUCAGACCCUCAUCAAUCAACUCAAGUGAUAAGCGAAUCGUCCCAAUAAAAUGAUUUAACCUUUACAGAAUCUGAUUUUCAACAUAGAAUAAAAGAAACAUUUAUAGAAACUGUAUAAUAUUAAAUAUUUCUAAUAAAGCUGUCCAAAUCAAUCUAAAACAAUCACUCAUUACAAUAAGUAUA